GUUGUAGCUCAGUGGCAGAGCACCUGCUUGGUGUGCAGAAGGCCUAAGGUUCAAUCCCUGGCAUGUCCA